UGUUUGAGGAACUGCAGGGGCUGCUCACCCCAGAGCCCCAGGCCCAGAGUCUCCCCCAGACACCAGGGCUCCACCACCGGACCAGCGGCCGUGUGCAUGACCCCAGCCCGGUGGAGGAGCCCCGAGGCAAGGCCCUGCUCCCUAGCAGCCCCCCUAGGCCGCUGCUGCCAUGGGUGCUGACCCUCCUCACCUUCCUGGUGGCCACGGUUGCCGUGAGCCUCUAUGCCUUGUGAACAUCAGGCGCUGGCCCCGGGCAUGGACUCAGUCCGGGGACGCUCUCAGGCCCCGCGCCCUCCACACCCCUGCGCUCCAAGGGCUCGUCCUGCGGCCCAGGCCUCCGACUGGCAGCGGUCCACGGGGCCAUGACCUGAGCCUCCCCGCAGCGACGGCACUCUCCACACGGACAUUUUUAUAUCAUAAGUGUUGUGUCUUCAGUUUGUCUCAUUUCUGUGAGAGCAGCUUCUCCAUCCUGGUUCAGCCUGAACUGGAGCCUCUGUUGUGUUUGUGGUUUUGUAACAGGGCUGGGAUCUGGGGGGGGGGGGGGACUCACCACGCGUGGCCUUGGCACAAUAAAAGGCGUCGUGAUGG